rnacentral:rRNA from 1 species
GCUGGCGGCAGGCCUAACACAUGCAAGUCGAGCGGAUGAAGAGAGCUUGCUCUCUGAUUCAGCGGCGGACGGGUGAGUAAUGCCUAGGAAUCUGCCUGGUAGUGGGGGACAACGUCUCGAAAGGGACGCUAAUACCGCAUACGUCCUACGGGAGAAAGCAGGGGACCUUCGGGCCUUGCGCUAUCAGAUGAGCCUAGGUCGGAUUAGCUAGUUGGUGAGGUAAUGGCUCACCAAGGCGACGAUCCGUAACUGGUCUGAGAGGAUGAUCAGUCACACUGGAACUGAGACACGGUCCAGACUCCUACGGGAGGCAGCAGUGGGGAAUAUUGGACAAUGGGCGAAAGCCUGAUCCAGCCAUGCCGCGUGUGUGAAGAAGGUCUUCGGAUUGUAAAGCACUUUAAGUUGGGAGGAAGGGCAGUAACUUAAUACGUUGCUGUUUUGACGUUACCGACAGAAUAAGCACCGGCUAACUCUGUGCCAGCAGCCGCGGUAAUACAGAGGGUGCAAGCGUUAAUCGGAAUUACUGGGCGUAAAGCGCGCGUAGGUGGUUUGUUAAGUUGGAUGUGAAAGCCCCGGGCUCAACCUGGGAACUGCAUUCAAAACUGACAAGCUAGAGUAUGGUAGAGGGUGGUGGAAUUUCCUGUGUAGCGGUGAAAUGCGUAGAUAUAGGAAGGAACACCAGUGGCGAAGGCGACCACCUGGACUGAUACUGACACUGAGGUGCGAAAGCGUGGGGAGCAAACAGGAUUAGAUACCCUGGUAGUCCACGCCGUAAACGAUGUCAACUAGCCGUUGGGAGCCUUGAGCUCUUAGUGGCGCAGCUAACGCAUUAAGUUGACCGCCUGGGGAGUACGGCCGCAAGGUUAAAACUCAAAUGAAUUGACGGGGGCCCGCACAAGCGGUGGAGCAUGUGGUUUAAUUC